rnacentral:tRNA from 1 species
GGCCAUAGCUCAGUGGUAGAGCAACUGCUUUGCAUGCAGAAGGUCCUUGGUUCAAUUCCUGGCAUCUUCA